rnacentral:lncRNA from 1 species
UUCUCUUUAAGAAAAAAAAAUAUAGUUCUUUUAACCCAAUAAAACCCAUCUAUUUUUUAUUAGACCUAUUUAAUUAUAAAUCUUAUAAAAGCUUUAGUAAAAUCAAAUUCACAGUUUUUUUAUUGGUUUUAUUUAUUUUUUAUGUAAAAAUUUAUUUUAUUAUCUUAUUUUUGUUAAAAAAGUUUUUACUUAUUUUUAAUUUUUUCAGGCUAAAAUUAUGUAUAAAAUUUGUUGAUUUUUUUUAUUGAUUUUCUUUAUUUAUUUAACAAUGUAUUUUAU